GGAAUCUUAGACAAUGGGCGCAAGCCUGAUCUAGCCAUGCCGCGUGAGUGAUGAAGGCCUUAGGGUCGUAAAGCUCUUUCGCCAGAGAUGAUAAUGACAGUAUCUGGUAAAGAAACCCAGGCUAACUCCGUUCCAGCAGCCGCGGUAAUAAGGAGGGGGUUAGCGUUGUUCGGAAUUACUGGGCGUAAAGCGCCCGUAGGCGGAUCAGAAAGUUGGGGGUGAAAUCCCAGGGCGCAACCCUGGAACGGCCUCCAAAACUCCUGGUCUUGAGUUCGAGAGAGGUGAGUGGAAUUCCGAGUGUAGAGGUGAAAUUCGUAGAUAUUCGGAGGAACACCAGUGGCGAAGGCGGCUCACUGGCUCGAUACUGACGCUGAGGUGCGAAAGUGUGGGGAGCAAAC
rnacentral:rRNA from 1 species